GGUAGCACGGGCAGGCACCACGUGGUGCCCUGAGGGCUCAUGGGAACUGUAGUCUCGGAUUCUCCCCACUGGUGGGUCCCAUCCAACCAGUUGAAAGCUUGACUAGAACAAAAGACUGACCCACUCCGGAGUAAGAGAGACUUCCUUCUGCCUGACUGCUUUGAGACCCGGACAUUGGCUUUUCUCAGCCUUCAGACUCAGAAGUAAACACUGGCUCCAUCUGGGUCUUAGACUCGGCCUUUGGACUGGAACUACACCAUUGGUUCUCAGGCCUUUGAACUUGGACUGGAACUAUAUCAUCAGUUCUCCUGGGUCUCCAGCUUGCCAACUUACCCUGAAGAUCUUGGGGAUCUUGGGAUUUAUUAGCUUCCAUAAUCAAAAAGCCAAUUUUUUAUAAUAAAACUAUCUAUCAAAAUA